AGGGCUUGUCUACAUCACAAAGUUGCAGCGCUGGUGAGGGGGUUACAGCGCUGCAACUUAGGAGGUGUACACAUCUGCAGGGCAUCACCAGCGCUGCAACUCCCUGUUUGCAGCGCUGGCCGUACUCCCGUUUUGUCUCGGGUGUAGAGGAUCCAGCGCUGGUGAUCCAGCGCUGGUAAUCAAGUGUAGACACUUACCAGCGCUUUUCUUGACCUCCGUGGAAUAAGCAGGUAUCCCAGCAUACCUGAGGAAGCCUCUCUGGUAAUCAAGCAGGUCUCCUUCCCUGGUUUGCUCUCGCGUUCCCCGAACCCCCGAGCAAGCAGGUCUCCUUCCCUGCGGUUUGCUCUCGCGUUCCCCGAACCCCCGUGCAAGCAGGUCUCCUUCCCUGCGGUUUGCUCUCGCGUUCCCCGAAUCCCCAAGCAAGCAGGUCUCCUUCCCUGCGGUUUGCAGGGGGGUUCGGGGAACGCGAGAGCAAACCGCGGCGAAGCUGGUCUCCUUCCCCGGUUUGCUCUCGCGUUCCCCGAACCCCCCUUGAAGCCGCCCAACAGCGCUGCAGUGUGGCCACAUCUAACACCACUUGCAGCGCUGGUUGCUGUAAGUGUGGCCACUCUGCAGCGCUGGCCCUA